GGUUUGUAGCUCAGUGAUAGAGCGCUUGCCUCACACACAUGAGGCCCUGGGUUCAAUCCUCAGCACCA
rnacentral:tRNA from 1 species